AGAGUUUGAUCCUGGCUCAGGACGAACGCUGGCGGCACGCUUAACACAUGCAAGUCGAACGAGAGAAGAGGAGCUUGCUUUUCUGAUCUAGUGGCGGACGGGUGAGUAACACGUGAGCAAUCUGCCUUUCAGAGGGGGAUACCGAUUGGAAACGAUCGUUAAUACCGCAUAACAUAAUUGAACCGCAUGAUUUGAUUAUCAAAGAUUUAUCGCUGAAAGAUGAGCUCGCGUCUGAUUAGCUAGUUGGUAAGGUAACGGCUUACCAAGGCGACGAUCAGUAGCCGGACUGAGAGGUUGAUCGGCCACAUUGGGACUGAGACACGGCCCAGACUCCUACGGGAGGCAGCAGUGGGGAAUAUUGCACAAUGGAGGAAACUCUGAUGCAGCGAUGCCGCGUGAGGGAAGAAGGUUUUAGGAUUGUAAACCUCUGUCUUCAGGGACGAAAAAAGACGGUACCUGAGGAGGAAGCUCCGGCUAACUACGUGCCAGCAGCCGCGGUAAUACGUAGGGAGCGAGCGUUGUCCGGAAUUACUGGGUGUAAAGGGAGCGUAGGCGGGAUCGCAAGUCAGAUGUGAAAACUAUGGGCUUAACCCAUAAACUGCAUUUGAAACUGUGGUUCUUGAGUGAAGUAGAGGUAAGCGGAAUUCCUAGUGUAGCGGUGAAAUGCGUAGAUAUUAGGAGGAACAUCAGUGGCGAAGGCGGCUUACUGGGCUUUAACUGACGCUGAGGCUCGAAAGCGUGGGGAGCAAACAGGAUUAGAUACCCUGGUAGUCCACGCCGUAAACGAUGAUUACUAGGUGUGGGGGGACUGACCCCUUCCGUGCCGCAGCAAACGCAAUAAGUAAUCCACCUGGGGAGUACGACCGCAAGGUUGAAACUCAAAGGAAUUGACGGGGGCCCGCACAAGCAGUGGAGUAUGUGGAUUAAUUCGAAGCAACGCGAAGAACCUUACCAGGUCUUGACAUCGUAUGCAUAGCUCAGAGAUGAGUGAAAUCUCUUCGGAGACAUAUAGACAGGUGGUGCAUGGUUGUCGUCAGCUCGUGUCGUGAGAUGUUGGGUUAAGUCCCGCAACGAGCGCAACCCUUACUGUUAGUUGCUACGCAAGAGCACUCUAGCAGGACUGCCGUUGACAAAACGGAGGAAGGUGGGGAUGACGUCAAAUCAUCAUGCCCCUUAUGACCUGGGCCCCACACGUACUACAAUGGCUGUCAACAGAGGGAAGCAAAGCCGCGAGGUGGAGCGAACCCCUAAAAGCAGUCUUAGUUCGGAUUGUAGGCUGCAACCCGCCUACAUGAAGUCGGAAUUGCUAGUAAUCGCAGAUCAGCAUGCUGCGGUGAAUACGUUCCCGGGCCUUGUACACACCGCCCGUCACGCCAUGGGAGUCGGUAACACCCGAAGCCUGUAGUCUAACCGCAAGGAGGACGCAGUCGAAGGUGGGAUUGAUGACUGGGGUGAAGUCGUAACAAGGUA
rnacentral:rRNA from 1 species